UGGGGAAUAUUGCACAAUGGGCGAAAGCCUGACGCAGCAACGCCGCGUGCGGGAUGAAGGCCUUCGGGUUGUAAACCGCUUUUACCAGGAAGGAAAAUGACAGUACCUGGAGAAUAAGGUGCGGCCAACUAC
rnacentral:rRNA from 1 species